GAACUCUGGUGGGAGGGGAGGUGCGGUGGACUGGGGGGAUGGGUGGCUGGUGUGACCGACUGGUGGCUUGCGGGGGUUGCCUUUCCCCCGGGAACAUGAUGUUUGGGAACAUAAACGCUGGGAGAGAGUGGUGGUUGGAUGCGGGUGGGAGGGAGGCCCGCCCUGCGGCAACCGGAGGGGGAGGGAGAAGGGAGCGGAACAUGCUCAAAACCGGACGGAGCCAUUGCUCUCGCAGAGGGAGGAGCGCUUCCGGCUUGCCUCUUGUCGCUGAUUGGCCGCUUCUCCUCCCGCCGUGUGUGAAAACACAAAUGGCGUAUGCUGGUUGGAGUAAAGCGCCUGUCAGUUAACAGCGUCGGGAGUGCGCAGCCGCCUGGCGACCCUCGUGUUGCCCCCUGGGUGGGGCGGGUAGGUUGCUCCUUGACAGCAGGACAAUGCUUAUGGCUUUAUCCGUUGCCUAAGCUCAGAGAGGUCUUCGAGGUCAAAACUAUUUUCAUGAUAGCAAGAUGCUUCCCUUUUUCACUCAUUCUCUCAGUGUUCAGAGGCUACAUGAUGUGUGAUGACAUCCUCAUUGAUGUUAAUGAAUGGUGCUAUACUUGAAUUUUCUAAGGUGUGCUUAGGUAGGUUUAGGUAUGCAUACUUUUUAGAAAUUAGUUUUUUCCCCGUUUCUCAUUUUUAGAAAUAACUCACUAGAUUAUGCCUUCAGUAAUUCUUGCAACCUCAAUAUUGUGCAAUUGUUAUUUUAAAAUACUAUAUUCUUCGUGCCUAAGCAUGAACAUAAGAAGUACAUUUUGUUGUGUUGUUUGCAGUAGUUUAAAUAUUUUCCCAAAAUACCCAAAAUUAAAAAUUUUACUUUAGAAUGUAAUAACUUUAUUCUAAAAUAAAUCUAUUUUUCUUAUUUAAGAAUGGAUCAUUGGCUUAAAAAGACUACCUCUUAUCUACUUCUCGGCUAUACCAUCUGUAUACUAAAUACUAGAAAAGAUCAAUUUGGAAAGACUAACAAAAAACUAAUAGAAAUAUGAAACCUAUCUUUCUGCUUUGGAGAUAUUUACCUUACCAUAUCUGCAGUAGAAUAAUUUUGUUCUUUUGUCUUUCUGGAGAUUGAGGUUUUGCUAUGUUGUCCAGGCUGUAGUGCAGUGGCUAUUCACAGGUGCCAUGAUAGUGAACUACAUCCUGAAACUCUUGGGCUCAAGCGAUCCUCCUGUCUCAGCCUCCUGAGUAGCUGGAACUAUAGGCAUGCACCACCAAGCCUGGGCUUUUAAAAAAUUUUUAAAAAACAAUUUUUUAGACAGGGUCUUGCCAUCUGGUUCAGGCUAGUCUUCAAGUCCUACCCGUGAGUGGUCUUCUUGCUUUGGACCUCCCAAAAUGUUGGGUUAACAGGUGUGAGCCACUGUACCCAGGCAAAAAUUUUUUUAGAGAUAGGAAUGGAAUGAUUUUUAAAUAGUGUUGGUGCCACCUGUGUUGUGGCAUCAUUUUGAAACCAAUCCUAAAGAUGGCUUUUUUUUGGUAAGGUACUAUUUUUUUUCUUCUUCUUCAAAUAGUUUACCUUUUUUUUUUUAAAUUGCAUUUUAGGUGGUACUGAGUAUUUUUUAAUACAGGUAUGCUGCUACUGAAAAGAAAAACCAUGUUUGAAGCUAGAAAUGUUCGAACAAGUUACCUAAGUAACUUAAAGGAUAAGUUACUUUGUAAUACUAUAGAAACAUACACAAUAGCUGAAAAACUUUAAGUCUCACAUGGCUGUCUCUGCUAGAUAAAGUGUAAGUAAAAGAUCACAGUAGUGCUACUGUUGAGUGAUACAGCAAUUUGUCAUUAAAGAUGUGUGUGCAGACAUGGAUUGAGUUAAUAUCUAUAGAAGUAUACAUUUGUCCCAUGCCGGCUAUUUGCCAAGAACACCAAAACCCUUACAUAAAAUGGCACUGUGUUUGCAUACAACUUAACACAUCUUCCCAUAUACUUUAAAUCAUUUCCAGAUUUUUUAUACUUCAUACAGUGUAAAUGCUGUGUAAAUAGUUGCAUUGCGUAUUUAUAUUUGUAUUGUUAUAUUUUUUUCUCAAAUAUUUUCAAGCACAUUUGGUUCAAUCUGCAGAUGGAGAACCUGAGGCUAUGGACUGACUGUGUCUAUACUUUAUAAAUGGAUGUGUGUGUGAACGUGGCUGGACUUGUUAUUUGGCUUGUAUUUGCCAGGCAUCAGCAUCAACUAAAGAUACUCUUAUGUGAAAGCUUGGCAAGAAACACGUCUUGAAAUAACGUGAGUGUGGAAUAACUUUUUAAAAUCUUAUGGUGUAUCCUAAACUAUAUGUUGACAUUUGUAAGAAUGGUGAUAAGGCAACAGUAGGUAAAACUUCAGGCACCUUGGCAGAAACUGAGGUGGCACCAAAGUAUAAGAUACCCUUCACUGCCAUGCAUUUGUGGUGUGGACCCCCACAAAAGAAAAAAA